rnacentral:rRNA from 1 species
GUAGGUGGCAAGCGUUGUCCGGAAUUAUUGGGCGUAAAGCGCACGCAGGCGGUCCUUUAAGUCUGAUGUGAAAGCCCACGGCUCAACCGUGGAGGGUCAUUGGAAACUGGGGGACUUGAGUACAGAAGAGGAAAGUGGAAUUCCACGUGUAGCGGUGAAAUGCGUAGAGAUGUGGAGGAACACCAGUGGCGAAGGCGACUUUCUGGUCUGUAACUGACGCUGAGGCGCGAAAGCGUGGGGAGCAAACAGGGAUUAGAUACCCUGGUAGUCCACGCCGUAAACGAUGAGUGCUAAGUGUUAGAGGGUUUCCGCCCCUUUAGUGCUGCAGCUAACGCAUUAAGCACUCCGCCUGGGAGUACGGCCGCAAGGCUG